GACGAACGCUGGCGGCGUGCUUAACACAUGCAAGUCGAACGGAAAGGCCCUGCGUUUGUGGGGUGCUCGAGUGGCGAACGGGUGAGUAACACGUGAGUAACCUGCCCUUGACUUUGGGAUAACUUCAGGAAACUGGGGCUAAUACCGGAUAGGAGCUCCUGCUGCAUGGGGGGGGUUGGAAAGUUUCGGCGGUUGGGGCUGGACUCGCGGCUUAUCAGCUUGUUGGUGGGGUAGUGGCUUACCACGGCUUUGACGGGUAGCCGGCCUGGGAGGGUGACCGGCCUCAUUGGGACUGAGAUACGGCCCAGACUCCUACGGGAGGCAGCAGUGGGGAAUAUUGCACAAUGGGCGGAAGCCUGAUGCAGCAACGCCGCGUGCGGGAUGACGGCCUUCGGGUUGUAAACCGCUUUCGCCUGUGACGAAGCGUGAGUGACGGUAAUGGGUAAAGAAGCACCGGCUAACUACGUG
rnacentral:rRNA from 1 species